AUACGUGGGGGGCGAGCGUUGUCCGGAAUGAUUGGGCGUAAAGGGCGCGUAGGCGGCGCGGUAAGUCUGGAGUGAAAGUCCUGCUUUCAAGGUGGGAAUUGCUUUGGAUACUGCCGCGCUUGAGUGCAGGAGAGGUUAUCGGAAUUCCCGGUGUAGCGGUGAAAUGCGUAGAGAUCGGGAGGAACACCAGUGGCGAAGGCGGGUAACUGGACUGCAACUGACGCUGAGGCGCGAAAGUGUGGGGAGCAAACAGGAUUAGAUACCCUGGUAGUCCACACUGUAAACGAUGAAUGCUAGGUGUAAGAGGUAUCGACCCCUUUUGUGCCGGAGUCAACACAAUAAGCAUUCCGCCUGGGGAGUACGGCCGCAAGGUUGAAACUCAAAUGAAUUGACGGGG
rnacentral:rRNA from 1 species